rnacentral:rRNA from 1 species
AGAGUUUGAUCCUGGCUCAGAAUCAACGCUGGCGGCGUGCCUCAGACAUGCAAGUCGAACGAUUAAGACUUCCUUCGGGAAGUGCAUAAAGUGGCGCACGGGUGAGUAACACGUAAGUAAUCUACCUUCGAGUGGGGAAUAACGUCCGGAAACGGACGCUAAUACCGCAUAAUGCAGCGGCGUCGUAAGAUGACAGUUGUUAAAGGAGCAAUUCGCUUGAAGAGGAGCUUGCGGCAGAUUAGCUAGUUGGUAAGGUAAUGGCUUACCAAGGCUACGAUCUGUAACCGGUCUAAGAGGACGGUCGGUCACACUGACACUGAAUAACGGGUCAGACUCCUACGGGAGGCAGCAGUCGGGAAUUUUGGGCAAUGGGCGAAAGCCUGACCCAGCAACGCCGCGUGAAGGAUGAAGUAUUUCGGUAUGUAAACUUCGAAAGAAUAGGAAGAAUCAAUGACGGUACUAUUUAUAAGGUCCGGCUAACUACGUGCCAGCAGCCGCGGUAAUACGUAGGGACCAAGCGUUGUUCGGAUUUACUGGGCGUAAAGGGCGCGUAGGCGGCAAUUCAAGUCAUCUGUGAAAUCUCCGGGCUUAACUCGGAACGGUCAGAUGAUACUGCUUUGCUCGAGUGCGGAAGGGGCAAUCGGAAUUCUUGGUGUAGCGGUGAAAUGCAGAUAUCAAGAGGAACACCUGAGGUGAAGACGGGUUGCUGGGCCGACACUGACGCUGAAGCGCGAAAGCCAGGGGAGCAAACGGGAUUAGAUACCCUAGUAGUCC